AUUGAACGCUGGCGGCAUGCCUUACACAUGCAAAUCGAACGGUAACGGGCCUUCGGGUGCCGACGAGUGGCGAACGGGUGAGUAAUACAUCGGAACGUGCCCGAUCGUGGGGGAUAACGAGGCGAAAGCUUUGCUAAUACCGCAUACGAUCUACGGAUGAAAGCAGGGGCCCGCAAGGCCCUGCGCGGACGGAGCGGCCGAUGGCAGAUUAGGUAGUUGGUGGGAUAAAAGCUUACCAAGCCGACGAUCUGUAGCUGGUCUGAGAGGAUGAUCAGCCACACUGGGACUGAGACACGGCCCAGACUCCUACGGGAGGCAGCAGUGGGGAAUUUUGGACAAUGGGCGCAAGCCUGAUCCAGCCAUGCCGCGUGCAGGAUGAAGGCCUUCGGGUUGUAAACUGAUUUUGUACGGAACGAAAAGCCUUCUUUUAAUACAGGAGGGUCAUGACGGUACCGUAAGAAUAAGCACCGGCUAACUACGUG
rnacentral:rRNA from 1 species